rnacentral:rRNA from 1 species
AGGCUGAGAAAGUAACCUUCUGGGGUUACUGGAGCCGUCCUUGAAAUACCACCCUAAUAAUGUGAGAAUUCUAACUUUUCACUGUAAUCCAGUUGAAGGACAUUUUCAGGCGGUCAGUUUGACUGGGGCGGUCGCCUCCUAAAAGGUAACGGAGGCGUACAAAGGUUUCCUCAAAUCGGCCAGAAAUCGAUUGUAGAGCGCAAAGGCAAAAGGAAGCUUGACUGUGAGACCAACAAGUCGAACAGGGACGAAAGUCGGUCUUAGUGAUCUGACGGUUCCGAGUGGAAGGGCCGUCACUCAACGGAUAAAAGUUACUCUAGGGAUAAC